GCGCACCAGGCGAGAAACCUCCGCAAUGCGGGCAACCGCGACGGGGGACCCCCAGUGCCGUGGCAUCGCCACGGCUUUUCCGGAGUGUAAAAAGCUCCGGGAAUAAGGGCUGGGCAAGGCCGGUGGCAGCCGCCGCGGUAAUACCGGCGGCCCGAGUGGUGGCCGCUAUUAUUGGGCCUAAAGCGUCCGUAGCCGGGCCUGUAAGUCCCUGGCGAAAUCCCACGGCUCAACCGUGGGGCUUGCUGGGGAUACUGCAGGCCUUGGGACCGGGAGAGGCCGGGGGUACCCCUGGGGUAGGGGUGAAAUCCUAUAAUCCCCAGGGGGACCGCCGGUGGCGAAGGCGCCCGGCUGGAACGGGUCCGACGGUGAGGGACGAAGGCCCAGGGGAGCGAACCGGGAUUAGAUACCCCUGUA
rnacentral:rRNA from 1 species